UUUUGUGCUUUGAAUUGCACAUUAACCUUUCCUCAGAGUUCCUGCUAAGCAAACGGCGAAUGUUCUCCAUUGCGAUCACGAUUAUGAGAGGUGGAUGGCUGACUCACGUCAGGGCGAGAACACGAUGAUGGCAGACACGAGCAGCGUUUUUGGCAGACGUUCCCCGAUGACAGCUGGUCAACAGCAUCUUCUUUGCAACCUGAUUGAGUUUCCCUUUUAUUUAAACACCCGUUAUGAUGACAAAGAGAUUCAUUACUAGAGUUGCAGAGUAGAAUCAAUCUAUAAAAUUCAAUUUUUAUUCUGACACAAGGAUGCAUUAUAAUGCAGAUGAUUCUUUUGUAAAAAAAAUGUCAACUUUCUAAACAUUUGCUUUGUUGACUUCAAAACAAGACAUGAGACACAAGAAUAUAAAUAUGACAUCUGGUAUGAAAAAGCCAUGUUUUGACAAAUAAUUCAUCUAUACAGCAGGUGUUUGUGCAUUACAUACACAAAGUAAACACCCCACGCGCACACACACACGCUACCUGGGGAAUGCAAUGACAAUUAUCAUACGUUAAACAUAAUUCACCACCUAAAUUAAGGCAGAACUGAAUCCCCAUUUCUUGAUGUAUAUAUAAAUGUGUCAAAAAGUACGAAUU